AUGGGAUUUCUGGAGCUAUUUUCUGUUGCUUCUUUCCCUGUCAUCAAAGUACUACUACUCACUGCAAUUGGUUUACUUCUUGCAUUGGAUCACAUCAAUUUGCUGGGAAAAGACGCAAGGAAUCAAACCAAUCAUCUUGUACAUUAUGUGUUUAAUCCUGCUAUGGUUGGUGGUAAUUUGGCAGAAACAAUCACUUAUGAGAAUGUUGUUAUGUUGUGGUUCAUGCCGGUGUUUGUUCUGCAGGAAAUUUAG